CCACUGAGCAAGAAAAUCUAACACCAAAACAGAAAAAUUCAGUUUAAAUAAAUAAUCAAAACAUGAAACAAGGCAUCCAAAACUCAAAAAAGAAUAGGGAAUUCUUUUUCACUGCUGUAACACAGCAUUAUUCCAACAAGUUUUUACUUUUAAUUCAAAUGCGAAAAUGAGGAAAAGAACCGCAGGCAAAGCAGUGCAAGAUACACUAAAAUGGCAAAAAGAAAAAAAUAGAUUGUUGCAGGAUUGAUCCCUCUGCUCCAUUCCCUUCCCAUCAACCUACAACUCAUUCCAAACCCUAAUUUUUCAGUAUAAAAUCAAUGCAUCUCAGAGAACAAGAAAAAAAAAGAGAAAUCUCAUCCACCAUCAAACAACAGAUAUCCCAGCAAAUCGAAAAAACCAUAGCCACUAUCAUCUAGCAACUACCAUUUUUACAUCAAUAUCCAGUUGUUACGAAAUACCACCCUACACCUCAGAAAAACUAUAUUUCCUAUAUUCAUUGAAGCUUCAAGUUGAAGUUCGAUGAGCCUGAGUUAGACAUUCUCAUACCAAAACUCAAACCAUUGCAAGAAGAAGGAACAUUGAAGCAAAAGGAUAAGAGGAAGAUUUUACCUUAUUAAACUCGGCAAGCCACUAUUCACUUGGACGGUUUCAGAAGCAAAAGGAAGUGAGAAUGGAGAAGGGAGCGGCGAAAGCUGAGAGAAGAGGGAAUUAGGGGUCCCCUGGGAUGGGUCGUUUGGAUUUUAUGUAAUGUUGCAAGUAUUGUUUAUGAGCUAAUGAGAAAACCCUUUUAGCAUGAUAUUGUGAAGUAUUUGGAUGUGCAUAAAUGUUAAAUUGUGAGAGCAAAAAGAAGAGUCAGCUACUUGGGUUUUUCACUCAUCUAUGCAAGUGUUGAAAAACUGAACAAGUGCAAAAAUCCAAUCGUGUUUAACUACAGCAUCUUUGUUAAAAUUGUUUUUAUUUAACGUUAAUUUACUGUCAGUUAGAAUAAGCAAUGUUAGUGCUGUUAGUGAGUUGUUGCUUUUACCUAUUCUCUUGCCACUAUCCCACAUUUUUAGUGUUUGUUAGAGUGGGCUAUUUUUUCUCUGAUUCAGUUUCUGUAAGGCUAUUUAAGAGCCAUUUCUUUU